UGGGGAAUAUUGCACAAUGGGCGCAAGCCUGAUGCAGCAACGCCGCGUGAGGGAUGACGGCCUUCGGGUUGUAAACCUCUUUUAGCAGGGAAGAAGCGAGAGUGACGGUACCUGCAGAAAAAGCACCGGCUAACUACGUGCCAGCAGCCGCGGUAAUACGUAGGGUGCAAGCGUUAUCCGGAAUUAUUGGGCGUAAAGAGCUCGUAGGCGGUUUGUCGCGUCUGCUGUGAAAUUCCGAGGCUCAACCUCGGGCUUGCAGUGGGUACGGGCAGACUAGAGUGCGGUAGGGGAGAUUGGAAUUCCUGGUGUAGCGGUGGAAUGCGCAGAUAUCAGGAGGAACACCGAUGGCGAAGGCAGAUCUCUGGGCCGUAACUGACGCUGAGGAGCGAAAGGGUGGGGAGCAAACA
rnacentral:rRNA from 1 species